ensembl:lncRNA
AUUGUGUUUGACUCAGAGCACGCUAAAUUAUGACAGUCACUCAGCUGAGCAAGCAUGCAGGGACGUCUGUUCCUCCUGAUUCUGAUAGGUAAGCAGAUCAGAUCUACAGGCAUGUUUUUUUAGUCUCUCUGUGUUAACUCAGUACCUCACCUCUUUCACAAUGACCGUGAAGAUGAAGGCUUCGUUAAGGCUUUAACUCACUGCAGAGCCUGAGUUUGAUCAGUUCAGAAAAAUAAUAGUUAAAAAAAGCUUUAAAAAGUGUUUGUUUGCCAUGUCUUUAGUUUUAUUCACACGCACACACACACGCGCGCGCGCGCACGCACACACACACAACAGAAUAAUAAAGUCAUCACAGUUUAGCAAAAACACUAAAUGCAAUUUUCUUUUAUAAAUGUGGCCUGAAAUGGAACUUCAUCUGUGCAAAAAAGAAAGAAAGAAAGAAAGACAAAAAAUCGUAUGCUGAAGCACAAAAGAGGAGGAAAGUUUUCCUCAAACUACAUACUGAGUAGAGUAAUUACCCCUUUUUUUCAGUAUUUCCUAGAGCGAUAUUUGAGGCUAUUGUUGGAUUUAAUUUCUUUAAAUAAUACAGUUCUCCGGUGAGGAAGGAGGAAAUGAUGCCGUUCACGGCUGGUGACGUCUAAGAAGCUGAGACAGUAUGAGCUGGGCUGCCGAGCCUCUGACUGCUGCAAGCUUUCGCUCCAGGUGUGAGUUUCUUUAGUCUUUGUAGUUCACAUUAUGGGGGACAUUUACAAGUAUCCCGUUUUCUUCGAGUGUUCCAAUCUGAGCGCAGAGCAAAAGAAGAGGAUAGAAAACUAUUUCCAUAUUCGUCGCAAAUCGGGCGGCGGUGAGUGCGGCUCGGUGACGGACGUAAACGACAAAGUUUACAGCGUCGCGUUUAAGGAGCGAGAUGCUCAACAAAGAGUCCUGCAAAAAUCUCAGCAUGAGUUCAACUUUCCAGAUUGUACUCUGGUUCUGACUGUGAGAGACAGCCCAGGACCUCCUGUCGCUUCUCCCACAUCCCCCUCGUCUCCAGGCCAGCCAGUUAGCCCCAAACUGGAUGUAACCUCUUCACAGGUCAGCUCUGUAACGUGUUAUUGCUCUGUAAAGGCAACGCUAUAUAACUCAAAACGAAGAAAAAAAGAGAGUGAUCAAUUCUUUUUGUUGGUUAGACACUGAAAAAGUUUGUUUGUUGAUUGAAAAAGACGACCCAGCUGUAUGUAAAAACAAAAUGAUGCAGAGGUUAAGCAUAGAUAAGCAACAUUACCUUGUUAUUUAUCUUGUUGCAAGUUCAGCAAAUGUUUUUGCAUUUUUACCUAAAAAAAAAACUUGUAUUGCAAGAAUGGAACAAAGACAUCCAGAAGCAAGUGUGAAAAGAGGACUUAUGAAGACGGAGUCACAGAAACGAAGACCAUAUAAAUAUAUAUACACACAAAGGAGUGACAUUCCACAGGGGAAAAACAUUUUGGGUGUUGCAGGUAAAAACAGAAAGCAAAUCAGCCACAGACAGGCAAAGGAAGAGUUAUUGUCAUAAUAAACUGAGAACAAAGAAAACAAUCAAUGAACUCUGAAAAGAAAACAUAAAGUAACACUAUUGUAAUGGAUUGGAAUUACAUAUCACCCCAAGCAACCAUUGUGAAAGAGCAGAAGAUGGUUUAGUGUAUUUUUCCAGUCUUGAAAACCUCAAAUAAUAUUAAUCUUUAAGACU